UUUAUUUACAAUGCAAACAAAAGUGCUGAUUAUCAUGAUUCAGCACUCUCAAAGAGAGAUGGAAGCAGUAAAUAGAGUAGGCAAUGAGAGAGAGGGACUUGCCACCACACCCAGGCUCAGCAUUUCUGAUAUUUUCAGAAAUUUCAGAUAUUGUGGGAAUGAUGUUCCUUUGCCGUGCACGUGCACUUAGACAUUUCUUGCAAUUGAUAAGAGGCCCAAAAUCUGACUCUCUCUUCUACCCUUUUGUGGCCUUCUCCAAAUCUGUAGAUGUUUUUAGGGUUUGGGUUUUUUUUGUUUUUAAAUAGGGACUUUGCAACAAUAUGCAACAUUUUUUUUUUUGUUUUAAAGGGAUUUAAAACCCUUAAAUUAAUAUAGCCCUGAGCUAAAAUUCUCACGCAGAAAUAAUUAGAGCUCUGCAUAGGUGGCACACACCAGCCUUAUCUUGCCUGGUAUCACCUGUUUAGGCACACCUUUGGGGCAGGGUCAUGUCUGAAUCAAUAGUUCCACCAGAUGUUGUGGGGCUGUUUGAGACAAGAUAAGGCAGAAGACAAACAUCCCCCACCACUUCUCACCACUAACAAGCUCACUGAAUUUUUCAUGGGGUUCCCUGACCACAGUUUGGGCAACAAUUGCCUUGCCUGAACUCAUUGUUAAGUGCCAUUAACCAUAAAACCUUCCACAUGAUCCUAAUCUGCUUGGUGGGAGGAAAGGCACUCCAGGAAUUGCCAGAUCAGGCUCGGAGGAAGUUUCACUGGCUUCACUGGUGAGCAGAAGUUGUGCUGCCCCCAGCCCUUUGGGACCACAAGUGUUACUUGAAGGUGCCACAACAGGUCUGACAAUUGGGUUCACUACAGGUGUGUUGGGUUUUCAUGGCCAGUUUUUGGUAGCCACACUCCCACCCCCCUGUGGCUGGUCAGGGGGGAGAAAAAAUAAUGAAGAGUUCAUGGAUUGAGAUAAAGGCUGGGAGAGAUCACUCACCAAAUACUGUCGUGGGGAAAGGAGGCUGAAUUAUAGAUAUUAAUUGAAUUUUCUGCUGUCAGUCCUUCAGGCACAACCUGCUCCAGUGUGGGCUCCUCUCUCCACAGGGUCACAGCCUCUCUCAGACAUCCCCCUGCUCCAACACAGGCUCCUCCAGGGGCUGCAGGGGCACAAAUUUUGGGGUUUUUUCUCUCUAUAUUCAUUAGAGACUGAUGAUUGAGUAACCCUGCAGGAUAACAAAUAACUGAAUUAUAUGACUCCUCCUCUACAGUCAAACGUGAUUGUGUGAGGGAGAACAGACUAGACCAGAAAGGAAAACCUUGAACUAAAGUUCAGGAAUUUUUUCAAGGACAUGGGUAACAAGUUCCCAGGUAUGUGUGGCCUUGGUCAUUCAAUAUCUCAUGGCUUGACCUCUACAGCGAAGGCACCUGGCAAAAAGAGAAGGACAAUUAAAGAGAAAACAAGAAGAAUGGGGGGAACUCUGCCACUCUGGUGGUGUGGGGACAUUGGUCAACAGGACUUGGAAAGGCAGGAACUCCAGGCUUGAGAAAUCACCCAAAGCAAAAGCAGUCGUUUGUAGUCUACUCGCAAUUGUUUUGCCUGGCAGCUUGAAAUUCACACAGCUGCUGUUUUUAGUUUUGAGGCAGAAAGUGCCACUGUCUGAGCAAGUUUCAGCUGGAAUUCGAAGCCAUCCAGAAGCCAUGAGGAAGAACUCUGCCCACCACUGUACCAGAGCUGCCUUCAGCUGGGAACAGCAAAUGUGGUCCCAAGGAUGGGACAUCUGUUGGCAAAAAUAACACUGAUGAGAAAUUCUGACAUUUCCGUAAACUCAGGAUGAUCUUGGACCAUUCUUGACUCCCAUCAGUCUGGCACAUUCAGAAACCUGUGUGGGGAAAUUCUGCCUGAUAAAAGCCUAAUUUACCAUGUCGGGCAACUGAGGCACAAUGAAAUUAAUCACCAUUUCCAGAGCCUGAAGUACACACCAGUGUUUCUCAGCCCUACACCUAAGUGGUAAGGCUGCUCUUUCUUCCAUAUCUUUUCUUUGAGAGUCUUUCCAUUUUGUUAAUUAAAUACAAGUGACAAUGACUUCAGUCAUGAUCAAAAAGAGUGCACAUGUUUGCCUUGCCAUAAAGGGACUCUGUUGUUCAUCAGCUGCAGGGCACAUCUAUGUAUUUUUUCCCAGGCAAUUGUCUUCCCACUGUGUGGUGUCUCAGUUCUGUCUUUAUAACAUACAUAAACUAUGAACUGAAGCCAUUGCUCUUGUUCUUAAACUGGUCAUAAAACUCUUCCCCCACAUUCCAAAAAUAAAAUAAAAUUAAAAAAAAUAACGUGGAACUUGGCAAAUGAGCUUCUGUUUUCAAAAGAGGAUGUCCACACCAGUGAAGAGCGAGUUCCCCCCACGAAGCAUCGGGGUGUGCUCCUGGGCAGGACUUUGGCAGACGAGGGAGAGGAGUGCUGUGAAAACACUGCAGGAACCUGUCGCUGGCUGCUCCAGCCAGCAGAGCAGUUUUAUUGACAGAUACAUCCAAGUGCAUAUUUGUGUAUGUUUGUGUGGAAACUGGGGACUCUGUCCAAGCCAACAGUAAGGAAAAUACAGCUGGAUCCAGUGCACAGUGUCUCAUUUCUGAGGAUACUCCACAGAUUCCAAAAAAAGCAAAGCAUAAGUAGAAGUUCUUCCCAGUGCCCAUCUCAGAUUGCUGGAGACAUGAGAGGGACACAAAAGUAGAGAAGCUGCAGAUAUGGACUAAAAUUAUCUGAAAGAAGAAAUCCCCAGUAACUUCCAUGGCCCUUUGUUCAGGUCUCCAGGGAGCAGAUGAUCAGCAGAGAUAACAUUGUGAAACCGAACAGUAUUUCCUCUCUCUCUGUGUUACAUAUUUAGCAAUGUAACAUCAGGACUGCAGAGGACAGCAUUAUUUCUUGAUUAUACAAUAUCAUGUAUCUAUUCAAACUUUUCUGUGGAAGACAGGAGCAUAAUACAUUAUAAAACUAUUUAUUUUUCUGCCACUUCCAAUUUUUUUCUCCAGUCACUCCCAACUCGGUGGUUUCAACAUCCAUGAUACAUGAACUUCACUUCAGCUUUCAUUCAGAGGUAUCCACUACAGCUCAAAAACAGGAAAAGUUUGGUUACAGCAGCAGAGAAAGCUGAUCUGCCUCUGAGAUUUAUUUUGUCAUAGAAUUAAAUUAUUUUUUUUUUCUAUAAAGGAGAAGAGUUUCCCUCCUCUUCAGCUUAUCAAGAAAAUUCUUAACAUUGCUUUUCUGCAUUACAGAUCAGCAUGGGCUUUGGCUAACUGAGGUAUAAAGGUUGUGAUAUAUAACCUGCUGCUGUUCAAAUCACUGGACACAAUCCCAAGACUCAGGUGGAAAUUUGUGUCUUUCAGACAAAUUCCUUCUCCUAAUGCUGCCUUUCCCCCUUAUGUAUUGAACUGGUGACCAGAAAAUCUAGGAAAAAAAAAAACAAACAGCAAAACAAAAGGAUUCUUGACUGACCCAGCAGAGGAACAGACCUCCUGGCACUUUUCCAGCAGCCCUGACAUCGAGGUUAUUACAGAAAUCCAAUCACACGCUUUACAAUUAGAGCUCAGGUUAUCAAAAUUACUGGCUUGUUUUUCACCACAUCUAAGGUGAAAGGUGACAGAAAGCAGCAAACUAACAGAGGACUGGUAAACACAAUUGUCAAGCAUAUGGGCAAAGCACAACAAUUAAGAAAUGACCAUUGGGAUUAGGGUCCUCAGCCCUACAUAAGACCUCUGACAGUGGAGUUGAAGCAUGACUGACAGAGGAUCAUGACUGCGCUGUUUGGAGCUUGGAUCCUGUAAAGCCCCUCACCAGAGGCCUGACACAAAAGUAAUUAAAUAAAUCAGACAGAAAAAUGGCAUGUCCUUCACAUUUGGGGCCACAGACUCUACUCAUUGUUCCAUGACACACAUGCAAUGAUAGGGAAAAAAAAAAUAUAUUAAGGAACUCAAGUAUAGCCCGCAUUAUAAAGCUCUAAUUUCCGUGACACUUCUUCAGGCAGACACUAGAAAGAGUUAAAAAUGGUCCAGUAAUUCCCCAGCCUUGUCUGUCUACCUCCUAAUUCCAUCAGCUGCUGCCAUCCAGAGAACCUCAGGUUAAACGAUUUGAUCAUGCCUCUCUGUCCGGGGCAAUUUCACAGGGAAGGAGGAAGGUGCUGGGAUUUUGAGUGGUGCCAGCAUGGGGUGAGACCUCUGUGCUGCCCGGGGCUGCUCCCCCACACUGGGCCCUUACAGGAAUUCAGGAGUUGGAUGAGUUGGAUGCCAGGACACAAAUUCAACCCACCAGGCACCACAAAACAAUGGGCAAACGCCUGCAAGGGCUGUGAACAAUUUGAAGAGUGAAAGGAGGGUGCGGGCUCCCAAGACUAUACUUAGUUUUGUUUAUCAUCAGCGAUUAACCCUGCUCUAAUUUACACCCCGCUAAGCAUACCCAGGUCACAAUCCGUUUGUGUGAGGAACAACACAGGAUUCGAGAUCCAACUCUUGUUUUUCAUUCCUUUAAGCAACAGCUGACACAAAGUCUUGUUCCAGAUUGUCUCUUAACAGCCUGUGGAGGGAUCAUGUAUUCUGGGCACCAAACCAGCAUCAACACUCCGGGUGGGGAUGGAUGGUGAGAGGAGAAAGACAAGUGGAGGGGCGAAAAAGAGAAUGAAGGAGGCACCACCCACCAUCCAUUCAGCUUGACAGUGCUGCUGCUGAAGUGCAUCUGUGUGGACUGACCACUUCACUGUGCUUGCAGCACAGCUGUUCCUUCUAGAGGUGAAUCUGCUGCUGAACAACGGGCUUGGGAGAUGCUGAGAGCUUCGGAGUCCUGUUGGCUUCAAAAGGAAAUACAGUAUUUUCUACACCUUUCCUCCACUCCAGGAUCAAGAUGUCUAAGAAGCAGUUCAAAGGAGAACUGCAACCUACAGCCCACAUUUGAAACUCUGGGCCUUUUGUACCUUUUUUUAGGAUGCUUUGGACAUUCUCCUUUGCCUGCCCUCAUGUGUUAUGUAGAAGAAACAGAACUGGUUUAUUAAUGCUAGCUCCAAAGUCACAUACACAUGCAUAGACACACUCUCAGACAAAUCCCUCUCUCUAUUACAAUAAAUAUCUCAUAAAAAAUUACAUACCCUGAAUAUAUUCAGCAGCAAAAUAGCAGCUGUUGCAUAGUUUGAGGGUUUUUUUAUUUUUAAC